AAGAACUUUGAAGAGAGAGUUCAAGAGUACGUGAAACCGUUCAGGGGUAAACCUGAGAAACCCGAAAGUUCGAAUGGGGAGAUUCAUCUGCAGUGACGCUGGCUUCAUUGUGGCUUUGGCGAUGCAAGGGUACUUCGGUUCCAUGGCACGUCGUCGCAGUGUUAUGUCCGGCGUCGUCGUGGUGCACUUCUCCCCUAGUAGGACGUCGCGACCCGUUGGGUGUCGGACUACGGCCCGGGCGGUUGCCCGUCGCGGCGAUUUAUCGCCAUGACAGACCCCCGGUGUUCUCCCGUCCGACUGCUCGGCGGUAUUGGUGCGAUGGUAUUCGGCCGCAGUCUAUUCGAACGAAGUGCGUUAUUGGCUCGUCGCAAGCGCGGUCAGUGUCCGCGGCGUACGGACUCAGUGCCGUCCCCGGGCCUGAUCAGCUGUUGGCUGACGGUGUCCUCUGACUGGCCGCUUACUUGUUUGCGACGCUUUUGCUUUGGGUACUCUCAGGACCCGUCUUGAAACACGGACCAAGGAGUCUAACAUGUGCGCGAGUCAUUGGGAUAACAAAACCUAAAGGCGAAAUGAAAGUGAAUGUCGUCCUUGCGUCGACAGAGGGAGGAUGGGUUGCGCAAAGCAGCCUCGCACUCCCGGGGCGUCUCGUUCUCAUUGCGAGGAGAGGCGCACCUAGAGCGUACACGUUGGGACCCGAAAGAUGGUGAACUAUGCCUGGUC
rnacentral:rRNA from 1 species